rnacentral:rRNA from 1 species
CCAGACUCCUACGGGAGGCAGCAGUGGGGAAUAUUGGACAAUGGGGGGAACCCUGAUCCAGCGACGCCGCGUGAGUGAAGAAGUAUUUCGGUAUGUAAAGCUCUAUCAGCAGGGAAGAAAGAAAUGACGGUACCUGACUAAGAAGCCCCGGCUAACUACGUGCCAGCAGCCGCGGUAAUACGUAGGGGGCGAGCGUUAUCCGGAUUCACUGGGUGUAAAGGGAGCGUAGACGGCCGUGCAAGCCAGGAGUGAAAGCCCGGGGCCCAACCCCGGGACUGCUCUUGGAACUGUGCGGCUGGAGUGCGGGAGGGGCAGGCGGAAUUCCUGGUGUAGCGGUGAAAUGCGUAGAUAUCAGGAGGAACACCGGCGGCGAAGGCGGCCUGCUGGACCGCGACUGACGUUGAGGCUCGAAAGCGUGGGGAGCGAACAGGAUUAGAUACCCUGGUACA